CCUACGGGAGGCAGCAGUGGGGAAUAUUGCACAAUGGGGGAAACCCUGAUGCAGCGACGCCGCGUGAGUGAAGAAGUAUUUCGGUACGUAAAGCUCUAUCAGCAGGGAAGAAAAUGACGGUACCUGACUAAGAAGCCCCGGCUAACUACGUGCCAGCAGCCGCGGUAAUACGUAGGGGGCAAGCGUUAUCCGGAUUUACUGGGUGUAAAGGGAGCGUAGACGGCAGCGCAAGUCUGGAGUGAAAUCCCAUGGCUUAACCAUGGAACUGCUUUGGAAACUGUUCAGCUAGAGUGCAGGAGAGGUAAGCGGAAUGCCUAGUGUAGCGGUGAAAUGCGUAGAUAUUAGGAGGAACACCAGUGGCGAAGGCGGCUUACUGGACUGUAACUGACGUUGAGGCUCGAAAGCGUGGGGAGCAAACAGGAUUAGAUACCCCGGUAGUC
rnacentral:rRNA from 1 species